rnacentral:rRNA from 1 species
UACAGGAAAAACCUUUACAAUGCCUGAUUACGUCUCUGAAGCUAAGCGGGAUGGGGCUUGGUUAGUACUUGGAUGGGAGACCACUGGGAAUACCGAGUGUCACGGUAA